rnacentral:rRNA from 1 species
AACGAACGCUGGCGGCAUGCCUAACACAUGCAAGUCGAACGAUAACUUCGGGUCUAGUGGCGCACGGGUGCGUAACGCGUGGGAACCUGCCCUUAGGUUGGGAAUAACUCCCCGAAAGGGGUGCUAAUCUCGGAUAAUUACCUAGGACCACAGAUUUGUCGCCUUUGGAUGUGCCGGCGUUGGAUUCGCUAGUUGGUAGGGUAAAAGCCUACCAAGGCGACGAUCCAUAGCUGGUCUGAGAGGAUGAUCAGCCACACUGGGACUGGGACACGGCCCGGACUCCUACGGGAGGCGGCAGUGGGGAAUAUUGGACAAUGGGCGAAAGCCUGAUCCAGCAAUGCCGGGUGAGUGAUGAAGGCCUUAGGGUUGUAAAGCUCUUUUACCCGGGAGGAUAAUGACAGUACCGGGAGAAGAAGCUCCGGCUAACUCCGUG